GUGGGACUACUCGCGUGUGCCUUUUUCGCCGUGCAACAGACCGUCGCUUCGAAACCUUGCAGCAGCUUGGGCCUAUUCAGUCAAGUGCCUUGUGAUGAAACUCAUUCAAGCAAGUGUUAUAACAUAUGUGGUGGAAGACAGACUCCAAUUCAGACUUUUCAAAUCUGCCUCAACAAACAAACGCCUGUGUACAAGAUCGGCGAUGAAAUACGGGGCGUUGUCUCUUUCAAUCUAGAUCGUCCACUGAAUGACGCUCUAUUUUACGACGUCAGCUUGACGCUUUCGAGCAACAGGCACGCAUUUUUUUUUGGCGAACUCUGCAAUGAUCAACCAGAGUUAUGUCAUACUAGUA